rnacentral:rRNA from 1 species
AACGAACGCUGGCGGCAGGCCUAACACAUGCAAGUCGAACGCUCCGCAAGGGGAGUGGCAGACGGGUGAGUAACACGUGGGAACCUACCUCGAGGUGCGGGAACAACCAAGGGAAACUUUGGCUAAUACCGCAUGUGCCCUUAGGGGGAAAGAUUUAUCGCCUUGGGAUGGGCCCGCGUCGGAUUAGCUAGUUGGUGUGGUAAUGGCGCACCAAGGCGACGAUCCGUAGCUGGUCUGAGAGGAUGAUCAGCCACACUGGGACUGAGACACGGCCCAGACUCCUACGGGAGGCAGCAGUGGGGAAUAUUGGACAAUGGGCGCAAGCCUGAUCCAGCCAUGCCGCGUGUGUGAUGAAGGCCUUAGGGUUGUAAAGCACUUUCGCCGAUGAAGAUAAUGACUGUAGUCGGAGAAGAAGCCCCGGCUAACUUCGUGCCAGCAGCCGCGGUAAU